GAGCUGUGACGAUGACUGCGCCUCUUGUUGGCGGUAGGGUCUGCCACACUUGUCCGACUCCUUCGGAUGACCAAUUAGGCGUUUCUGAGCUC